rnacentral:rRNA from 1 species
GACGAACGCUGGCGGCGUGCUUAACACAUGCAAGUCGAACGGAAAGACCCUGCUUUUGUGGGGUGCUCGAGUGGCGAACGGGUGAGUAACACGUGAGUAACCUGCCCUUGAAUUUCGGAUAACUUCAGGAAACUGCGGCUAAUACCGGAUAGGAGCUCCUGCUGCAUGUGGGGGGUUGGAAAGAUUCGGCGGUUGGGGAUGGACUCGCGGCUUAUCAGCUUGUUGGUGGGGUAGGGGCUUACAAAGGCUUUGACGGGUAGCCGGCAUGAGAGGGUGACCGGGCACAUGGGGACUGAGAUACGGCCCAGACUCGUACGGGAGGCAGCAGUGGGGAAUAUGGCACAAUGGGCGCAAGCCUGAUGCAGCAACGCCGCGUGCGGGAUGACGGCUUUCUGGUUGUAAACCGCUUUCGCCUGUGACGAAGCGUGAGUGACGGUAAUGGGUAAAGAAGCACCGGCUAACUACGUG